rnacentral:rRNA from 1 species
UACGGGGGGGGGCAAGCGUUGUUCGGAAUUACUGGGCGUAAAGCGUGCGUAGACGGUUACAUAAGUCGGGUGUGAAAGCCCCGGGCUCAACCUGGGGGCUGCGUUUGAUACGUGCGGGCUUGAGUUCGGAAGAGGGUCGUGGAAUUCCCAGUGUAGAGGUGAAAUUCGUAGAUAUUGGGAAGAACACCGGUGGCGAAGGCGGCGACCUGGUCCGGAUACUGACGCUGAGGCGCGAAAGCGUGGGGAGCAAACAGG